GCCGGCGAGUGGCGAACGGGUGAGUAANGUAUCGGAACGUACCUUUCAGUGGGGGAUAACGUAGCGAAAGUUACGCUAAUACCGCAUAUUCUGUGAGCAGGAAAGCAGGGGAUCGCAAGACCUUGCGCUGAUUGAGCGGCCGAUAUCAGAUUAGCUAGUUGGUGGGGUAAAGGCCUACCAAGGCGACGAUCUGUAGCGGGUCUGAGAGGAUGAUCCGCCACACUGGAACUGAGACACGGUCCAGACUCCUACGGGAGGCAGCAGUGGGGAAUUUUGGACAAUGGGGGCAACCCUGAUCCAGCCAUGCCGCGUGAGUGAAGAAGGCCUUCGGGUUGUAAAGCUCUUUCGGCCGGGAAGAAAUCGCGCAGGCUAAUACCCUGUGUGGAUGACGGUACCGGAAUAAGAAGCACCGGCUAACUACGUGCCAGCAGCCGCGGUAAUACGUAGGGUGCGAGCGUUAAUCGGAAUUACUGGGCGUAAAGCGUGCGCAGGCGGUUUCGUAAGACAGAGGUGAAAUCCCCGGGCUCAACCUGGGAACUGCCUUUGUGACUGCGAGGCUAGAGUACGGCAGAGGGGGGUGGAAUUCCACGUGUAGCAGUGAAAUGCGUAGAGAUGUGGAGGAACACCGAUGGC
rnacentral:rRNA from 1 species